CUUUAGAACUUCUGUUUUUAAUUUCCUGCAAUGAAAGUAUUUUCCCCAAUAUUAGAAAUAUAUCCUGUUCUUAAAAUAUACCCUUUUCACAUUACCAGAUGGCAAAUACCAACUUUAAUUAAAGAUGGUCAUCAGUAAAAUGGUCUUGAUAUAGUUAUCGCAUUUAUAUAACAUUCAUGACUGCAAAAGAGACCAGCUAUCCAUCACAGGGAAGUUGUUUCCCCCAAUUUAGGACAAUCCUUAAAUGACCUAAUGGAGUAAAUAUUCAAAAAGGCUUGGACUUGUAGUUACAUUGGUACAAAUUGUCCCAAUACUGAAAUAAUUUAUCUUUUGAUGAGGAGUAAAAAUCCAUGGCAUUUUUCUGUCAGCUUUCCAAAAGUUUAAGAAUUGUUUGUAGAUAGAACUAAGCAUUUCUGUUCUUAUCAAAAAUCUAUUCAUAGGUUCUAUUAGAUCCAUAAUUAAUUUUAAUAACAGGCCAUAGCAUUGCCUUUUGGGGGGCACAACACUGGACUCUUAUUCUCAUAUUUUAACUGACAAUUUUGAACAAAAUCGAUUGAGAAAAUUGGUGAAGUUCAGGAGUUGUAAUCUUGGCUCUUGAUAAUAGCUAAUCUUUACUGAACACUUACUGUGUGCUCCAAACUGUUCUAAACAUUUAACAUGGAUUAACUACUUUAAUCCUCAUAACAAAUUCCCAGAUGGGUGAUCUUGGGUAAGUUACGUACAUUUCUUAAGCUUCCAUUCCAUUUUCUGAGAAAGAAACCAAGGUUUGAAAAGUGAAGCAAUUUGCUGAAUUCACUCAGCUAGUGGGGCAGAGCUAGGCUUGAUCUCAGCAGGCUGCCAUCAGGGCUAGACUGUUCACCAUCACCAGGAACUGCCUUUGUAUCUCUAGGAGACAGACAGAAACAGAUGCUCCCAAAGGUAGCCUGUAGCACUCACAUUCACAUUCUUACUUGUUCUAUGAUAUUCUUCAAAAAUUGGAAUGCACAAAUGAUAAUAAAUAAGAAACACAUGAAUUCUUCUCCACAUUACCUCCCUAAUCUUUGAGACAUCAGUUUUCAACCUAGGUAGCCUAAAAGUUUGUUUGGAAGGCAAUCCAAAGCUUGUAACAACUUUCAUAAUGGCUUCUAAAAGAAGGUUUUGAUGACUUAAUAACCUUAAAAACAUUUCUGUCUUCAUAGCAAAUGUAUGACUGGAAAAAAAGAGAAGAUAAAUCUCAAAUUAAAUGCAUACCAUACAUGAAAUCUCUUUUGUGACUAAAGAAACCAAACAUAAGUUGACUGAAGAUGGAAAACCAUAUUUGAAGACAGUUUCAGAAAGACAAGCAAAGGUAGACAUACCUUGUUUUUAAGGAAUGGUUAAAAAGGGACCUUAAAAGACAAUCUGGCAUCCCUGAAAUUCUGUACAAUUCCAGCCUGCCUAAUUCUUGCCUUUGUAAGAAGAGUGAGAGAGACAGAGUAAGUUCCUUUA